CCCGAGUAGCUGCCCCGAAAAAAAAAAAAAUAUCUCAAAUAACCAGUAAAACCCCAGUCGAAAAUCAAAGUCUCAAAUUCUCAAAACCCUACACCGGAGCUACGUUGACGGUAAUGGCUGGUUACUCUCCGCCGGCGAAAUCAUAGCUUGGUGGAGUUUUGAAAUUAAUCGAAAGUUGAAGAAGGCAUUGCCUAUUGAAGAUAGUGCGUUUUACAAGUCACAAAAAUGUCAGAUAUCAGAAAAUGGUUCAUGAAGCAGCAUGACAAAGGUACGGGUAAUGGGAGUAUGUCCAAGAAUAGUGCUCCAGAAAAGCCUUCAGCAGAAAAGCCUUCUCCAGGAAAC